rnacentral:pre_miRNA from 9 species
UCUCGAUAGCGUAAAAGUGAACUCAAAUUAUAUUGAGUUGAAAUGUUUGCCUACGUUUGCCGCUAGGGGCGCUGUUCCAGCUGCGUACAAAUUUGAGUUAAAUUUUACGCUUUCGA